rnacentral:autocatalytically_spliced_intron from 1 species
GUAAAAGAAAGUUUGAAACGUAUGUUAGAAGCCGGAAUUAAAGAUUUAUCUGAAUAAUACUUAACCCCGUAGAGACUUGUUCGGCAAUAUCAUGUCGGACAGACCAAGCGCACAAAAUUUUAUGUGCUCGGUAACACGUCGGUCUCCAUCCGCAUGCAUGCGGAAGGAUGAUGGUAUAGUCCAAUCCCUCUGGUAACAGAGGA